rnacentral:misc_RNA from 1 species
GGAUGAAGAACGCAGCGAAAUGCGAUACGUAGUGUGAAUUGCAGAAUUCCGUGAACCAUCGAAUCUUUGAACGCACAUUGCGCCCCUUGGUAUCCCGAGGGGCAUGCCUGUUCGAGCGUCAUUUCACCACUCAAGCCUGGCUUGGUGUUGGGCGACGUCCUCUUUGGGGACGCGCCUCGAAACGCUCGGCGGCGUGGCACCGGCUUUAAGCGUAGCAGAAUCUUUCGCUUUGGAAGUCGGGGCCCCGUCUGCCGGAAGACCUGCUCGCAAGGUUGACCUCGGAUCAGGCAGGGAUACCCGCUGAACUUAAGCAUAUCAAUAAGCGGAGGA